rnacentral:rRNA from 1 species
CCUACGGGAGGCUGCAGUGGGGAAUAUUGGGCAAUGGGCGCAAGCCUGACCCAGCAACGCCGCGUGAAGGAAGAAGGCUUUCGGGUCGUAAACUUCUUUUGACAGGGAAGAGUAGAAGACGGUACCUGUCGAAUAAGCUACGGCUAACUUCGUGUCAGCAGCCGCGGUAAUUCGGAGGGGGCAAGCGCUGUCCGGCAUUACUGGGCGGAAAGGGCGUGUAGCCGGGUUGACAAGUCAGAGGUGAAAUCCUGGGGCUCAACCGCAGAACUGCAUUUGAAACUGUUGAACUUGAGUACUGGAGAGGCAGACGGAAUUCCUAGUGUAGGGGUGAAAUGCGUAGAUAUUAGGAGGAACACCAGUGGCGAAGGCGGUCUGCUGGACAGCAACUGACGGUGAGGCGCGAAAGCGUGGGGAGCAAACAGGAUUAGAUACCCCUGUAGUC